UGCAUCUCUGGGCUGAGACAGGUGCUAUCCCUUUUCGAUGACCCCUACCUCCCAGGGAGCGCCUUCACUGCCUCUCUCAGUGGAGGGUUUGUGUCCCUUCUGCACCAUUAUUUCCCACAAUUGCUGGCACACAGCAACACCCCCAGCACCCUCCAGGCUCUUGAAUCCCUUUCGAUAAGGAGGAUUAGCUCCUCUUUGGUGAGCUCACAAUGGUCCUCCACAUCCUUUGUUGACUCUGUUUGCAUCAAAUAUUGAAGCUCUCUCCUGAAACUCAUUACAGGCCACCAGGACAAAGGCUUCCCAUGCUCUCCAGGACAGAUCCAGUGCCAGGAUGUUCCUCACGGCUUCACCUGCCACCUCUUCUCCAGUUACCACCCAAGGGAAUGAGCCACAGAGAUGACAGGGCAAUGGGCAGAGCAGCUGCAAUGGCGCCCAUACCCAGGGCUGCCUACCAGAGAGGAAAUGGGAGCUGAGGCCUGUGGGGACGAGCCCGGAUCACAAGGGCUUAGACCACAAAGAGGAUCAAAGGUGAGAGGCUGGGGUGGACUGAGCACACAGAAGCAGAGUGCUCAGUUACUUCGUCAUCACCCCCAAUGGCCACUGGGAACAUCCCUAUCACAUAACCUCAGCCUGCUUUGCAGGGACCCCUUUAUGCAUGGUCUCAAGCCUAGACCUCACCUCAGGAUCUCCUGGAGGGACAUCCUUGUCUCCAAAAUUGGCACUGGAAAGACAGCGUGAACGGAUGCUCUGAGGGGCAAAGGAGGACUGCGGAUGGAGGUGAGCAGAGGGCACAGCAUGGCGUCUGGGAGAGCAGCAGAUGAGAAGAAACAACCGCUUUUAUAGGCACUGUAUGAGACAGAACAUGGGAACCAAUCUCCAGGAUCCUGAGCAGGAAGCUUGAUGGGCUGAGGGUCACUGUCAGGACAUCCAGCCCUGCCUACAACUGUCACUUUCCCAACUACUAAAAGGAAGGACUUUGCCAGGCUGUGGCUAAGUGUGACACAGAGAUAACAAUGUUGUGGCUUCACAGGCUAGAAGCUCAAAGAAGAACAUUUAGCACCCAGCCUCUCCCCUGCUGUCUGCUGCCACACUUCGGAGAGCCACGGGUCAUCUACCCAUCUUGAAGAAGGAGAACCCAGUGACUCGAGAACUUAUCUGAGGUUACCUGUGACUCAGGAACCCUUGAACGUACACCUGACAGACCCCAGCUUCUAUUCUUAGUCACUUGUGACUGAGUUUGAGUCAUUCUUUCAUCACCUCAUGCAUACAAUUCCAGGCCACUCUACAAGGUGACAACAGACGCCCUUCCUGUGGUCCUCCUGAAGGCUGAAGGUGCUGGGAUACACACACACACACACACACACACACACACACACACACACACACACACAGAGAGAGAGAGAGAGAGAGAGAGAGACAGAGACAGAGACAGAGAGAGACAGAGAGACAGAGAGACAGAGAGAGACAGAGACAGAGAGAGACGGAGAGAUGGAGAGAGACAGAGAGACAGAGAGAUGGAGAGAGAAUUAUGGUUCAAUGUGCUGAGAAAUGGUCCUCACAGUCUCCUUCUUCACAGGAGCCUGAGCUAAGUGUGUGAGAGGUCAGAGUCCCAGUGGGGACCAAGGCGACCAUAGAAGCCACAGGGCUAAAGGGAAACACCUCACAGAUCUGGCCAAUUGGACCAGAACACCUGUUGUAAGUUGGGAGCUUUCCCCAACAAGACCGUCAACGCUCCAGUGACAUUUGGGUUGUUCAGCUUGGCCCCAUGACAGGCCUGUGAGUCAUGUGGGAGGCUCCUGGGGAAGUGUGGUAAUGCACUAGAAAGUUGGCAGCCAGUCACCUUUCUAGAUGUGUGAGUAUGGACCAUGGAGGCAAUUGGCACACACAGGGACCUCACAGAGGAAGGGAACUCCAUAGAAGGGCUGCCCAACCUGCUAGACACUGCCUUCUACUCCCAUCCAAUCCCCAACACACCUUUCCUUCCUCUCGCAACUCCUCUUGGGGCCCAAGCCAGACUUGAGCAAAGAGCUGUGCCUGCACGUGCCAACCAGAUAGCUACCCCUGGGUAGGGACAAGGAGGCUGGCCAAGCAGGCAGGAUAUGACCUUCUGCAUGCCCCUCAGCACAUGAAGAAAGGAUCCAAUGUCCCCUGUUCGUGGUUCUCAUGUGGAGCGCCUCCUCCCUUUCAGCCAUCCUUCAGUCUUCAAUUAUUUGGUCUGGUCUAAUAAGCCUCCCUAAGUUCUUGAAUGGUAAUAAAAUGCCCCUUCAUACUUUUUUGGAGUUAAUAACCCUAAAAA